rnacentral:lncRNA from 1 species
AAACGUCAUUCCUUUUAAAUUGAUUUAGCUCGUCUUGCAUUGCCAUGAGUCAAUGCCCAUUAAGUAAUUCAUCUUUAGCAUUUUUAGGAUCAAUCUGUGACACUAAAGCAAAGUGAUAACAAAAGUUACUUAUUUUAGAUAGUUUUGUCAUGCCUUUUGUUAUAUUUCCAAUAAUAUUAUCAAUAGGGUGGUCUUUGGUUAUUCUCCAAGACAAAUGAAGGUUGUCUACUACAACUGG